rnacentral:tRNA from 1 species
GGGGAAAUGGGCUAACCUGGCAUGCUGCCAGCUUUGGGAGCUGGUGAUCUGAGUUCAAAUCUCAGUUUCCCCA